rnacentral:rRNA from 1 species
UGGGGAAUCUUGGACAAUGGGCGCAAGCCUGAUCCAGCCAUGCCGCGUGAGUGAUGAAGGCCUUAGGGUUGUAAAGCUCUUUUUGCCGGGGACGAUAAUGACGGUACCCGGAGAAUAAGUCCCGGCUAACUUCGUGCCAGCAGCCGCGGUAAUACGAAGGGGACUAGCGUUGUUCGGAAUCACUGGGCGUAAAGCGCACGUAGGCGGAUUUGUAAGUCAGGGGUGAAAUCCCGGGGCUCAACCUCGGAACUGCCUUUGAUACUGCGGAUCUCGAGUCCGAUAGAGGUGAGUGGAAUUCCUAGUGUAGAGGUGAAAUUCGUAGAUAUUGGGAAGAACACCAGUGGCGAAGGCGGCUAACUGGUCCGGUACUGACGCUGAGGUGCGAAAGCGUGGGGAGCAAACAGGAUUAGAUACCCCCGUAGUCCCUGAGCGGGCUGGCAAGGCGCAU